UACAGAGGUCUCAAGCGUUGUUCGGAUUCAUUGGGCGUAAAGGGUGCGUAGGCGGCCUUCUAAGUCGAACGUGAAGUCCCCGGGCUCAACCCGGGAACUGCGUCCGAUACUGGAAGGCUUGAAUCCGGGAGAGGGAUGCGGAAUUCCAGGUGUAGCGGUGAAAUGCGUAGAUAUCUGGAGGAACACCGGUGGCGAAGGCGGCAUCCUGGACCGGUAUUGACGCUGAGGCGCGAAAGCCAGGGGAGCAAACGGG
rnacentral:rRNA from 1 species